rnacentral:lncRNA from 1 species
AACCAGCCACAACAAUGUAGUGGAGUUAAACUACACUCAGUGCACAUAGAAUUGUGUAGUAACAGCACAGAACCCAGACAAAUCCUCCUUACACUGUAAAUCAGUUUAGAUGUUUUACAUAUUCAAUACAAUGUUGACUCUAAGAAAACACACUGAAUUGUUAGGAAAUCAUGAUCUCUGCAUGCACAGUAAAGACCAGAAUUCAUUACCUGCUCAUCAGGCAACAUUACCAAGGAGAAACAGUGCAAGACCUCAGAGACCAAUCAUAGUUCAUGCUUUGCAUGACGUAGAAGAACACAGGAGGGAAACCUUUAAGGAAAACCCACAAGAGGUUUCUUUGCCUGUCCAUCACUAACACAAACAAAGACACUCUGGUCAUUGUGUGUUCUUCCUAUGAACCUUCCAAAUUAUGAAGAACCUUGGAACUAAACAUUCCUAAAACAAAUAGUCACUUAACAGUGAUCUUUCUGGAAUUGCUUUAAUGCAUCAGCAGCAGAUCCCAUGUUCUGGUGGUCUUUGAACAUGGACAAUGAUCUUGAAAGACUGCUAUGUGAAUCUUUUUACUUUUUGACAUUUCAAAUUUUAUCCUCUUUCCCCUCCAAAAAUCCCUCUAUUCUAUCUCCCUCCCCUUGCUCACUAGCCACAGAACCCAGACAAAUCCUCCUUACACUGUAAAUCAGUUUAGAUGUUUUACAUAUUCAAUACAAUGUUGACUCUAAGAAAACACACUGAAUUGUUAGGAAAUCUUGAUCUUUGCAUGCACAGUAAAGACCAGAAUUCAUUACCUGCUCAUCAGGCAACAUUACCAAGGAGAAACAGUGCAAGACCUCAGAGACCAAUCAUAGUUCAUGCUUUGCAUGAUGUAGAGGAACUCAGGAAGAAAACCUUUAAGGAAAACCCACAAGAUGUUCCUUCCCCUGCCAAUCAGUAACAUAGCCAAAUGCACUCUGGUCACUGUGUGUUCUUCCUAUGAGCCUUCCAAAGUCUGAAGAAACUUGGAAUUAAACAUUUCAAGGGCUGGUGAGAUGGCUCAGUGGGUAAGAGCACCCGACUGCUCUUCUGAAGAUCCAGAGUUCAAAUCACAGCAACCACAUGAUGGCUCACAACCAUCUGUAACGAGAUCUGAUGCCCUCUUCUGGUGUGUCUGAAGACAGCUACAGUGUACUUACAUGUAAUAAAUAAAUAAAUCUUUUUAAAAAAACAUUUCAAAAACAAAUAUUUACAUAACAGGGAUAUUUCUGGAAUGGCUUCAAUGCAUCAGCAGCAGAUCCCAUGUUCUGAUGCUCUUUGGAUGUGGAUGAAGGUCUAGAAAGGCUGCCAUGUUAAAGAAACUCAUCACUA